AUUGAACGCUGGCGGCAUGCCUUACACAUGCAAGUCGAACGGUAACAGGUUAAGCUGACGAGUGGCGAACGGGUGAGUAAUGUAUCGGAACGUGCCCAGUCGUGGGGGAUAACUGCUCGAAAGAGCAGCUAAUACCGCAUACGACCUGAGGGUGAAAGCGGUGGAUCGCAAGACCUCGCGCGAUUGGAGCGGCCGAUAUCAGAUUAGGUAGUUGGUGAGGUAAAGGCUCACCAAGCCGACGAUCUGUAGCUGGUCUGAGAGGACGACCAGCCACACUGGGACGGGGACACGGCCCAGACUCCUACGGGAGGCAGCAGUGGGGAAUUUUGGACAAUGGGCGCAAGCCUGACCAGCCAUGCCGCGUGCGGGAAGAAGGCCUUCGGGUUGUAAACCGCUUUUGUCAGGGAAGAAAAGGUUCUGGCUAAUACCUGGGACUCAUGACGGUACCUGAAGAAUAAGCACCGGCUAACUACGUG
rnacentral:rRNA from 1 species